CACAAACAUAAUGCACUAUUUAUUUAUCUAUCAUAAAUACUUGAUUCAUUUAGAAGACCCCAGAUCCUCUAGGGACUGUAGAAAAUCUAAAAGUUGUUCCUAAAUGAUAAAGUAAAUGGUUGAGUUUCUGAGCUGCCUGGAUACUAGGUAAUAAAAAGCAACACAAAACCUACAAAAAUACAAUCACACAAUUUGUUAUAUGGGACAUAUACUUGCCUACUCAACAUCACGGCCAGCACACACCCCAAAUUUUGCCAAGUGUAAUGCAUUAAAUGUCAGUGCAAAUUGGCACAAUGCUGCCAAAUCAGCACAUACAAAGUCUGGGGGGUUACUGUUAGAGGAUUUUGUGUGAGGACUAAUGUCUUAAAGUCACUGAAAAAUAAAGAUUUUUUUUUUAGAUUAAGAUUAUUCACCAUCUUUAUCUGUUACUUUUUCUUCAGCAGUGCUUCCAGACAUUUGAAAAUGGCUAUGACUGUCAGAAAGAAUGGAAGAUGCAGAUAGACAGAGACAAUAAAAUGUAGAUAGGUAGACACAAUAUACUCACAGAUCAAAGCUUAUACUUUUUUUUCCUGCAUUGAUAGCGAUUCUGAUCUCCAGUUUUUGGAGGAACUAGUAUUUAGCAGCCCAUUGGAAAAUGGCCAAGCAAUAUUUCAGUUUGAUUUAUUGUUUUAGAUGCAAUGCCUUGGAAUAGAAAUCUGAUUUGGCUCUCAGAUUAAGAAAACAGUACUGAGUGAAAAUGUUAAUUAGGCUCCUCAUGGCCACUUAACAUAGCAGUCUUCUGUUUCAAAGAGCAGUUCUUUCUGUGCCACAAGAAGCUGCAUCAAUUCAGAGUGGCACCUUUCCUUGGAGACUUCCAGCAGCAAAACUGUAUUAGAAAAUGAUUCCCUGAGGAAGUUUGGAUGAAAAGUUAUUGAGAGAUGAUCAAUGCGCUGCCACUUUUUCAGCUUGGCUUUUCUGACUGAAACAACUGAUUCUGAUUGCAAACAGAAUUACAAUGCCAGAGUUAGAGUUGCCUAUGUCUCCAGCUUAAUAAACAGAGCAAAGAAACCCUGGCACAAUGCACAGCGCAGAACUGGAGCCGAGUCACUGACAGCUACUGCCUCCAGUGAGGGAAAAUACAUUGAAGAUUUCCAGGUAAGAAAAGGAUUUGGAGCUUUGCCAUACCACCAGCAUCCAUAAGAUACAAGUGAGACUGCUAUAUAUGAUGUAAACAAAGAAGAUUAUGCUGUCUAAAUAUAUCCACUUAUUUGUUUCUUUUGCUGCCUUCCAAGCUCUAAAUUCCACUGUUGACAAAGUGAUCUAAAUAUUGAAAAUAAUUAUUUUCACAUGCAUGCAAAAUAUGACUUAGCUGUAGUAGGAGGAGGACUCAGAGCAGUUUACCAAUAUAUUUUAUGGGCACAAAACUGAAACUUACAAACCUAAGAUUUUAAAAGUUUAUAAUUAGUUUUUGAAUAUGCCAGAAUAAAAUAUGUUCACAAAUUAUUCACAAUUUCAAUUACUUACAUGGAAAAAAAAAUACUUGUAAAUUGACUUUUUUGUUGUUGCUUUCAUUGAGAUUUUACUUCUGUGUUCAAAUAUGAUUUAGUAUUUGCUACCUGAAAUUAGAAAAGUAUCCCUACUGGAAUGUAUUUUUUUUUUCUUUAAUUAGUCAAGUCAAAAUGUGUAAGGUCUGUG
rnacentral:lncRNA from 1 species